AGAUGCUCCUGAGAGUGACAGAGAGCAUGGAAGGACAUGGUUUUGGAGUAUAAAAAGAUGGUCUAAACCGCAUUCAAGCUUCAUUCUGUAGAAGGAAACAAAUGAGGAGAAAUUAGGCAGCACUAUCAGCAUCUCCAAGAUCAAUUCUAUGUGGGACUGAACAUAACAAUUAGCAUUCUUUGGAGACUGAAAAUGUACAAAUGCUGGAUGUUAAUGAGUUGCUGGAGACUGAAAGGUCAUACAGGUGCAGGAUGGCAGGCAGAUGUUGGCACCAUAAGGGUAGGCUCUGUCUCUGUUUUGCUGGUCAUUGUAUCUAAGGUGGGCACAGUGAUUCAAAAAUGGUUAGCUCCUCAGACCAAUGUAUUGAAUGAACUACAAAGAAUCCCCAAAUCUGAAAUUUGAAUUUAAAACUUAAUGAAUUCCUCAAGUUACGGCUUCUAAUUAAUGCAUUUCUGCUAAGCCAAGGGGAGCCCCUUGAGAAACUGGUCCAGAGUUCUUUCUCAUCGUGGAUCAUAAAGAGCUUCUCCCACUGGGUGACUGAGUGGAUGGGAGGAGUCACUGGAUUUAUGUUUGGGAUCUUCAUUCACUAGCUUGGCUUCUGACUUCCACUGCAUAUUGUUAAGAGGUACUGCUUAAAAAUAGUCCAGCAGUAAUGUUUUAUAAAUGAUUACUAGUUUCAAGUAGUUUCUUAGGAAAGAACAUGAUGCAACCACAGAAAUGUAUGUAAUAAAUCUUAAAUGAUUCUGUAACAUGUAUUUUCAUCAAAGUAUCUUCAACAUCAAAAUUAAGAUAACAAGAUAUUCUCAUUGCUUUUCUAAUUAUGUGGAAGCAGCACUUUCUUAGUAUCCUCUACAUAUCUUUCUGGAUGCUUCUUCCACAUCUUCAAGGUAACUAUUAUUUUUAUCUGUCUCACUCUUAAACACAGCUCUCAGGCUGACAGAAAUAAAAGCCACACAUGGUAUUGUCCGUGCCCGUCGUUUUUUAGGGUUCGAUAUCACGCUUUCUUUUUUACUCUCCUGUUCUUCCUUUGCUGACAUCUCCUAUGUUCAGCAAGAGCUGAACAAAAAGAGUUAUCUGAUUAUCACAGUAAAAACUAUUGAGGUAUAAAUGACUGAGAG
rnacentral:lncRNA from 1 species